GUUCCCGAUGCCUUCCCGGCUGCUGGAUCGAGACAAGGAUAGCGGGGAAUCCUGAGAGAAACAGCAAAGACAGAGUUCUGAGUGACGACACCACAUCUCAAUGUAAGAUACAAAAACAGCUGCCUACAUUGUACAUGGUGGUACUCAUGCUGGGCUUGUAUGAAACAUGAUUGGCUCUCCGCAGCUCCUUGAUGGUCUCAGCUGGCAUGGACUUCGAGAAGCCCAGACCGCUCCAGGUGUUGUAAUGUUUCUGCCUGGGUUUGGUCGGGUUACGAGGUGAGGACGGUGUCGUAGUGUCAGAAUAAAGACCCGGGAAAGUCCAACAACUCCACAGUGGAUCUGACGGAGGCUGGAACAACAGAGCAGUGUUCGAAUGCUCAAGAGGGAGCAAUAGAGGGAGAGAGAAGAGAAAGCCUGCAGCACA